rnacentral:misc_RNA from 1 species
AUUCUCCGGUGGGAUUCUACGGUGUCGGAAGAAGCUAGAGAGAAAAUGAUAUUUGACGCCGAUCGUUACGAGAUCAAUCGGUAUUUGCACGCCGUCGAUGAAAUCCAACGGUCAAUGGAGUCCACAACACUCUCCGACGACCAAGAUAAAGCUAAUAGUGCGAUCCAGAUCGCCAUGGCUCGGCUUGAGGAUGAGUUUCGUAGCAUACUUGUUGCUCACACAAAUGCAAUCGAGGCUGAUUCGUUAACUGACCCUAGUCCUUCUCCAGUCCACUCCGGCGAAUUCCAGUUGCCUGUGGAAGACUACCAUGAUACCCUUACCGACGAUGAUUCAUUCACCAAAGAGUUGGAACAUCAAGAGAGUAGCAGCAGCAGCUAUCGAUCUACUAGCAGUAUCCGCGAAGUUGAUCUCAUGCCGCCCGUAGCAAUAUAUGAUCUCCGGAGUAUCGCCGAGCGAAUGAUUUCCGCUGGAUAUCUCCGGGAGUGUAUUCAGGUCUACGGUAGUGUACGGAAGUCCGCUGUGGAGUCGAGCUUCCGCAAGCUUGGAAUAGAGAAACUCAGCAUCGGAGAUAUCCAGAGACUUGAUUGGGAGACUUUGGAAACAAAGAUCCGAAGAUGGAUACGAGCUGCCAAAGUAUGCGUUCGCAUACUCUUCGCUAGCGAGAAGAAACUCUGUGAGCAAAUCUUCGAGGGUUUGGGCACGGUGACUGAUGAUGCUUGCUUUAUGGAGACUAUUAAAGGACCAGCUAUACAGCUAUUCAAUUUCGCUGAAGCCAUUAGCAUCAGCAGGCGAUCGCCUGAGAAGUUGUUUAAGAUAUUGGAUCUUCAUGACGCUUUAUCCGAUUUACUUCCUGAUGUUGAGAUUGUUUUCGAGUCAAAAUCUUCAGAAUCAAUUAGAGUUCAGGCAGUAGAGAUAUUGUCUAGGUUAGGGGAGGCUGCUAGAGGGAUACUGUCGGAAUUUGAGAAUGCUGUACUCCGUGAACCUUCGAAGGUCCCUGUUCCAGGAGGGACAAUUCAUCCCUUAACUAG